GGGACACGUGGUAUCCUGUCUGAAUAUGGGGGGACCAUCCUCCAAGGCUAAAUACUCCUGACUGACCGAUAGUGAACCAGUACCGUGAGGGAAAGGCGAAAAGAACCCCGGCGAGGGGAGUGAAAAAGAACCUGAAACCGUGUACGUACAAGCAGUGGGAGCACGCUUAGGCGUGUGACUGCGUACCUUUUGUAUAAUGGGUCAGCGACUUAUAUUCUGUAGCAAGGUUAACCGAAUAGGGGAGCCGAAGGGAAACCGAGUCUUAACUGGGCGUUAAGUUGCAGGGUAUAGACCCGAAACCCGGUGAUCUAGCCAUGGGCAGGUUGAAGGUUGGGUAACACUAACUGGAGGACCGAACCGACUAAUGUUGAAAAAUUAGCGGAUGACUUGUGGCUGGGGGUGAAAGGCCAAUCAAACCGGGAGAUAGCUGGUUCUCCCCGAAAGCUAUUUAGGUAGCGCCUCGUGAAUUCAUCUCCGGGGGUAGAGCACUGUUUCGGCAAGGGGGUCAUCCCGACUUACCAACCCGAUGCAAACUGCGAAUACCGGAGAAUGUUAUCACGGGAGACACACGGCGGGUGCUAACGUCCGUCGUGAAGAGGGAAACAACCCAGACCGCCAGCUAAGGUCCCAAAGUCAUGGUUAAGUGGGAAACGAUGUGGGAAGGCCCAGACAGCCAGGAUGUUGGCUUAGAAGCAGCCAUCAUUUAAAGAAAGCGUAAUAGCUCACUGGUCGAGUCGGCCUGCGCGGAAGAUGUAACGGGGCUAAACCAUGCACCGAAGCUGCGGCAGCGACGCUUAUGCGUUGUUGGGUAGGGGAGCGUUCUGUAAGCCUGCGAAGGUGUGCUGUGAGGCAUGCUGGAGGUAUCAGAAGUGCGAAUGCUGACAUAAGUAACGAUAAAGCGGGUGAAAAGCCCGCUCGCCGGAAGACCAAGGGUUCCUGUCCAACGUUAAUCGGGGCAGGGUGAGUCGACCCCUAAGGCGAGGCCGAAAGGCGUAGUCGAUGGGAAACAGGUUAAUAUUCCUGUACUUGGUGUUACUGCGAAGGGGGGACGGAGAAGGCUAUGUUGGCCGGGCGACGGUUGUCCCGGUUUAAGCGUGUAGGCUGGUUUUCCAGGCAAAUCCGGAAAAUCAAGGCUGAGGCGUGAUGACGAGGCACUACGGUGCUGAAGCAACAAAUGCCCUGCUUCCAGGAAAAGCCUCUAAGCAUCAGGUAACAUCAAAUCGUACCCCAAACCGACACAGGUGGUCAGGUAGAGAAUACCAAGGCGCUUGAGAGAACUCGGGUGAAGGAACUAGGCAAAAUGGUGCCGUAACUUCGGGAGAAGGCACGCUGAUAUGUAGGUGAAGUCCCUCGCGGAUGGAGCUGAAAUCAGUCGAAGAUACCAGCUGGCUGCAACUGUUUAUUAAAAACACAGCACUGUGCAAACACGAAAGUGGACGUAUACGGUGUGACGCCUGCCCGGUGCCGGAAGGUUAAUUGAUGGGGUCAGCGCAAGCGAAGCUCUUGAUCGAAGCCCCGGUAAACGGCGGCCGUAACUAUAACGGUCCUAAGGUAGCGAAAUUCCUUGUCGGGUAAGUUCCGACCUGCACGAAUGGCGUAAUGAUGGCCAGGCUGUCUCCACCCGAGACUCAGUGAAAUUGAACUCGCUGUGAAGAUGCAGUGUACCCGCGGCAAGACGGAAAGACCCCGUGAACCUUUACUAUAGCUUGACACUGAACAUUGAGCCUUGAUGUGUAGGAUAGGUGGGAGGCUUUGAAGUGUGGACGCCAGUCUGCAUGGAGCCGACCUUGAAAUACCACCCUUUAAUGUUUGAUGUUCUAACGUUGACCCGUAAUCCGGGUUGCGGACAGUGUCUGGUGGGUAGUUUGACUGGGGCGGUCUCCUCCUAAAGAGUAACGGAGGAGCACGAAGGUUGGCUAAUCCUGGUCGGACAUCAGGAGGUUAGUGCAAUGGCAUAAGCCAGCUUGACUGCGAGCGUGACGGCGCGAGCAGGUGCGAAAGCAGGUCAUAGUGAUCCGGUGGUUCUGAAUGGAAGGGCCAUCGCUCAACGGAUAAAAGGUACUCCGGGGAUAACAGGCUGAUACCGCCCAAGAGUUCAUAUCGACGGCGGUGUUUGGCACCUCGAUGUCGGCUCAUCACAUCCUGGGGCUGAAGUAGGUCCCAAGGGUAUGGCUGUUCGCCAUUUAAAGUGGUACGCGAGCUGGGUUUAGAACGUCGUGAGACAGUUCGGUCCCUAUCUGCCGUGGGCGCUGGAGAACUGAGGGGGGCUGCUCCUAGUACGAGAGGACCGGAGUGGACGCAUCACUGGUGUUCGGGUUGUCAUGCCAAUGGCACUGCCCGGUAGCUAAAUGCGGAAGAGAUAAGUGCUGAAAGCAUCUAAGCACGAAACUUGCC
rnacentral:rRNA from 1 species